rnacentral:rRNA from 1 species
UGGGGAAUUUUGGACAAUGGGCGAAAGCCUGAUCCAGCAAUGCCGCGUGUGUGAAGAAGGCCUUCGGGUUGUAAAGCACUUUUGUCCGGAAAGAAAUCCUUGGCUCUAAUACAGUCGGGGGAUGACGGUACCGGAAGAAUAAGCACCGGCUAACUACGUGCCAGCAGCCGCGGUAAUACGUAGGGUGCAAGCGUUAAUCGGAAUUACUGGGCGUAAAGCGUGCGCAGGCGGUUUGCUAAGACCGAUGUGAAAUCCCCGGGCUCAACCUGGGAACUGCAUUGGUGACUGGCAGGCUAGAGUAUGGCAGAGGGGGGUAGAAUUCCACGUGUAGCAGUGAAAUGCGUAGAGAUGUGGAGGAAUACCGAUGGCGAAGGCAGCCCCCUGGCAAGUACUGACGCUCAUGCACGAAAGCGUGGGGAGCAAACGAUUAAUCCCUGGUAGUCCACGCCCUAAAANGA